rnacentral:rRNA from 1 species
CGUAGGUGGCAAGCGUUGUCCGGAAUUAUUGGGCGUAAAGGAUGCGUAGGCGGUUUUUAAGUGGGAUGUGAAAUACCUAGGCUUAACUUAGGAAUGGCAUUCCAAACUGGAAGACUAGAGUGCAGGAGAGGAAAGUGGAAUUCCCAGUGUAGCGGUGAAAUGCGUAGAGAUUGGGAGGAACACCAGUGGCGAAGGCGACUUUCUGGACUGUAACUGACGCUGAGGCAUGAAAGCGUGGGGAGCAAACAGGAUUAGAUACCCUGGUAGUCCACGCUGUAAACGAUGAGUACUAGGUGUGGGGGGCGAAGCCCUCUGUGCCGCAGUUAACACAAUAAGUACUCCGCCUGGGAAGUACGAUCGCAAGAUUA